ensembl:lncRNA
AUGUGGGGUGGCUCCCGCGCCGUCUGGAAGAGGAGGUUCAGCUGCUGUGAGUGUGUUUGGGGAGGGGGAGGGGGGGUGUCAACCCCCGAGUGGGGUUUUUGGGGGGUGGGCAGCCCGCAGGAUGUGCUGAAGCUCUGCUCCCACCUCCCUGAGCCCUUCGCCGGGGAGUGGCCGGGAUGGGAGGUGAGUGUUGGGCAAGGAAUGCCGAGACCCCCCCAUGGAUGCGGCACAAUCCCACCUGGAGCUGCAGGGUGGUGGGGGGCACAUCCUCAUCCUGUGGGGACAAGUGCGAGGAGCUGGUGGUCCCUGGAGCCGUUUUAUGGCCAGGAUCCUGUGGCCGUGCUGUGUGCUGGGCUGCCGGCACCGAGCUGGAGUGGGAUACAGGCAGAACCCGGCUCAAAAGCCCUGCCCAAGUCAGGGUGGGGGCCGUGGGUGCCCCCCCAGCAGCUCAGCAGAGUGGCUUGGGAAGAAGAGGAGGAGGAUGAUGGAGGCCGGGGCCGUGUUUUUGGGGAGCAGCGACAACACGCUGGGGUUGUAGGAACACAGGAACAUACUCCCGGCUGCAGGGACCCUCUGGAGAGGGGUCCCUGGGCAGGGGGGCUGCAACUCCCCUUGGCAGCGGGGAGUGAGGCCUUGGGCACGGCUGGAGCUGCUGUUGUGGGGCUCGGGGGGCUUGGGGGGGCCAGUGGGUUCAGUGUGGGGGGUGGGCACCCAGUUUUCUGCCCAGGGACAACCCCCCAGCUGAGACCACCCGUCCUCCCUCCCCCCGCAGAUGGUCCCUGGGAGUCUGCCGAGAGCUGCAUCGUGUACACCUCCGCCAGCGUCUACCGCCGGCUGCAGGAGAGCCCGCGGCAGCCCCCGCGGGGGAUGAGCACCCGGGGACCCCCCAGCAGCCUCCCGGCCGGCGGGAGAUUCCUCAAGUCCGAGUCCGAGGAUUCCGGCGUGGAGAUGGCCAGCAACGAGCACUCGCCCUCCACCCCGCUGGGCUCCGAGAGCAGCUUCUCCCUCGACGGCUUCCCGGCGGAGAAGCCCCCCGGAGAGGAGCCCCCGCGGACACCCCGGAGCCGCUCGGCCAGCAGGAGGCUGCUGCAGGCAGCGCAGCGGAGCAGGAGGCAGCGCUGCCCGCGACAGCUCAGCCGGCGCAGCGCCAGCGCCGCCGACCUGGCAGAACCCCCGCGGGACCCCGAGGAGCCCGAGGCUGGGGGCGCUCGGCCGCCCGGCAGCCCUCGGGACCCCCGGGCUGUGCCCGAGGCCGCGGUGCCGGGGCAGGGGCUGCGCUACCUGGAGCACGUGUGCCAGAUGCUGGAGCGCCUGGCGCGGCUGCAGCAGGACAACCGCGUCCUCCGGCAGCAGGCGGCCGGAGCCCGGGGCGCCCGCCCGGACACCCUGCCCACCCGGCAGCCUCCGAGGCAGGAUUUGGGCACGUGGAGGGGCGAGGGGUUCCGGCCACGCUCCUGCUCGGACAGCCAGGCCCCAGCAGCUGACCCCGGGCCGUGCCGGAGGAUGUGGGGACCCUCGGUCAGCUCCCCCAGCCUGCUGGACCCCUCCGAGGGCGGGGCGGGUGCCCCGGCACCGGACAAGGACGGGCGCUCGCACUGGGGCCGGGUGAAGGUGCUGCUCACCCGCCUGACCCGCCGCUCCCUGCGGGGCGGCCGCUGCAGGUAG